GGGACUAUUUUUGACCUUUUCUUGUUUCUUUCUCUGUUCUUCCAAUUUUUCUCCACAGAUCCAAAACCUAAAUUCUACAGAGAUAGAUACAGAUUCAUAGUCAUCGGCGAUUGAUAGUCCGUCGUCUGCUCCGAUAUCGUGGAUUUUACCCAGUGGAAAGAGCUUAGAAGAAAAAGACAAUUCUUGAUUGAUGAAGGUCGGUUUAGGGUUUUGACAAGUUGAUGGAUGAUCGAUAUGCCUCAACUGCGUAGCGGUGUGCGCAGAGGCCGUCGACCGAUUGCUGCAAUUGAACCAGAAAACAACAACAAUAUUAUUAAUAACGACGAGGACAAGAGGGUUGCUAGGAGAACAACGAGGACGAGGAGAGCAGCUGCGGGAAAUAGAGCCAUUGGAGUAAGGAAGAAGAAGAACGAAGAGAUAAUUAAGGAAGUUGUACCUGUAGCAGUGGUAGAUGUUGAUGAGGAGGAGAAUGCUGUGAAGAAAACGACGUCGUUUAGGACUGGUGAACCGGACGAUAAGGAUAGGAAAGAAGUAGAGGAAGGAGUGAGGGUUUUAAAAGAAGAGGCAGGAAAAAAGAAAAUGGAUGAAGAUGAUAGUGGCGGUCGGAGUGGUGAUAAGGGUUUGGGAGCUGAGGAAGAAGGAAGCACCACACCGCUUCCAGAAAGGAUCCAAGUUGGUGGAUCACCACCUUAUAAGAUUGACCGAAAGCUUGGUAAAGGAGGAUUUGGUCAAGUAUAUGUAGGUCGUCGAAUAAAUGCACCAUAUCCACAAGAAAGAAAUGGUGCAGGAGCUAUAGAGGUUGCCUUGAAAUUUGAGCAUAGAAGUAGCAAAGGUUGUAACUAUGGACCACCUUAUGAGUGGCAAGUCUACAAUGCUCUAGGUGGUAGUCAUGGGAUACCACAUGUACAUUACAAGGGACGGCAAGGUGAUUACUACAUUAUGGUUAUGGAUAUGCUUGGUCCUAGUUUGUGGGAUGUAUGGAACAACAAUUCUCAUACGAUGUCUAUUGAAAUGGUAGCAUGCAUUGCCAUUGAAGCAAUAUCCAUACUUGAGAAGUUGCACUCUAGGGGGUAUGUACACGGCGAUGUGAAACCUGAAAACUUUCUUCUUGGAACUCCUGAUGAGAAAAAACUGUUUCUGGUUGACCUUGGAUUAGCAACUAGGUGGCGUGAUACUUCAAGUGGUCUUCAUGUUGAAUAUGACCAAAGGCCUGAUGUCUUUAGGGGAACUGUAAGAUAUGCUAGUGUGCACGCUCACCUUGGAAGAACUGGAAGCCGGAGAGAUGACCUAGAAUCGCUGGCUUACACACUCAUCUUUCUGCUCCGGGGCCGACUGCCUUGGCAGGGAUAUCAGGGUGAAAAUAAAGGUUUCCUUGUCUGUAAGAAAAAGAUGUCGACUUCUCCAGAAACACUUUGCUGCUUCUGCCCUGCUCCAUUUAGACAGUUUGUGGAAUAUGUUGUGAACUUGAAGUUUGAUGAGGAGCCUAAUUAUGCGAAAUAUAUCUCAUUGUUUGACGGAAUAGUAGGUCCAAAUCCAGACAUCAGGCCAAUCAACACUGAUGGUGCACAGAAGCUUAUAUAUCAAGUUGGACAGAAGAGAGGAAGGCUUACAAUGGAAGAAGAUGACGAUGAACAACCAAAGAAGAAAGUACGGAUGGGAAUGCCUGCAACACAAUGGAUUAGUGUUUACAAUGCUCGUCGCCCAAUGAAGCAAAGGUAUCAUUAUAACGUUGCUGAUAUGAGGCUGGCUCAGCACAUCGAUAAAGGAAAUGAGGAUGGACUAUUCAUUAGCUGUGUGGCAUGCUGUUCAAACUUGUGGGCCUUAAUUAUGGAUGCAGGGACUGGGUUCACUUCUCAAGUUUACCAGUUGUCACCUUUUUUUCUUCACAAGGAGUGGAUUAUGGAGCAAUGGGAGAAGAAUUACUAUAUUAGCGCAAUAGCAGGAGCUAAUAAUGGGAGCUCCGUAGUAGUCAUGUCAAAGGGUACGCAAUAUCUGCAGCAGUCCUACAAAGUCAGCGAGUCAUUUCCUUUCAAGUGGAUAAAUAAAAAAUGGAGAGAGGGGUUCAAUGUCACGGUGAUGGCAACUGCAGGAAGUAAAUGGGCAAUUGUUAUGUCACGUGGGGCUGGGUUCUCUGAUCAGGUGGUGGAAUUAGAUUUUCUCUAUCCUAGUGAAGGGAUUCAUAGGAGGUGGGAUGCUGGUUACCGUAUCACGUCAACUGCAGCCACAUGGGAUCAAACUGCUUUAGUUCUGAGUGUUCCAAGAAGGAAGCCUGCGGAUGAAACACAAGAGACACUUCGUACUUCUGCUUUUCCUAGCACUCACGUCAAGGAGAAGUGGGCCAAGAACCUUUACAUUGCAUCUGUUUGUUAUGGGCGAACUGUUUCUUGAGGCACUUAAGAAGUUUCUGGGAAUUUUCUUGGGUGUCAUGUGAUACUCUGCUGUAUGUGCUUUGAAAAAGUGCCUGGUUAAUUUUCAUCUGAAUGGAGAAAAAUGGAUGCAGAGCUGGCUCUUUUAUUCUCCUUUGGAGAUGAUAUCCCCUAAAUCCUGUUUCAUCAGUGGCUAAUUGGUGUUGUGGCUGACAAAUGCUCAGAUUUUUGUAUUGUGGUUACUCGAUGAUAACAUUGAUCUUAUGGAUUCAUGGGCUUGUAAAUCUUGUUGGUAUUAGUAAAUGGCAUGAAGAGGUACAUGGGCUUCAUGAGAUGGAACUCUUCUAAAGGUCAUACGGGGCUAGAGCAUGAAGAGAACUCCAGAUCGUGAAGUAUAUAAAUGGGUAUUGAUUAAUUCAAGUUUGUCAAUUUUGGAAAGGAAAGAAGCUGUUUCUUUCUGCAUCUUGUAUUGCAAGGCUCCCUUUCCUUGAUGGAGUUCUAGUUCUUGUUAUAGAUUUUGGCACUUUGUGUGGUUUGGGAUUGAUUGUUGUGCCUUUCGAGGAUUUUGGAAUCUGCAAAGGUGGCAUUUGUCAAAACCAAACUCAUCUCUCCUUUAUUUUUUGACAAAAAGUUGGAGCUGAGAUUGGUUUGGUGUGUGUGUGAGAAAGAUCUAUGAAAAGAAUUCCAUCAAACUGGUCAAGUAUGUAAAAAUUAAAGUCGAUUUGGUUCCUUUGAAUUUCUUUGAAUACAAAUAACAGUUCUAUCUCAA